AAGCAGCACCUGACCCCAAGGGGGAGUUAGUUAACUCCCUCGGCAUUGGUUUCGUUUAACAGGAUGACAUUACAAUCGUAUUUACAUCUGGGGGGAGACCACAGUCUGCAGAGGCCUGACUGAGACGGGAGUAAUUUAUUUAAACCCUGCGUUGAUUCGUUGCUCCCGUCGUCUCCUCACUCGGUUGCCACAACUGAAGGCGGCGCUUGGCAUCCGUGUCGCAGGUGCAGAAAGCUGCCGGUCCAGGGAUUUUUACUACACUCCUCGUUAAGACGGACCCCCUUCCGCCUGCUGUUGCUGCUGCAGGCCUCCUCCUGGGGCAUUUUUAAAACCUCCCGAGGAUUGUGGAUCGACAUGGCUGACACUUUAAGGAGAUUGACCAACACAUCUUCAUUCAGCGUCUUACAGGACAAGCUCGAGAGUUGGCACAAAGACUACCAUGUGAUUUCUUGUGACCAGAAUCUGAACAGAUGUUGUGAGCUGAUUGAAAUCACCGCCAAAAUCCAGGGCCAACUGUUUGCCAUCCUCAACCUUACAGCUGCAGAAGGUGGACACUAUGCCGGAGUGGACACUCUGAAAACACGACUACUACCAUGGCUCGGAUCCUGUUUCUCAAUGGCAAGGCCCUCAGUCAGUGAUGACACCAGUCUACAGCUCAUCCAGGAUUCAGCAGAGAAGGACAGAAAGAUCAGGGAGCUCUCUGCCUCCCAUGAGAAUGACUUACAGAAGCUGGAGACUCAGCUGUGCUCCGCUCGGCUACAGCUGGAGUCGGUCAGAGCAGAGCUGCUUGAUGCUCAGAAGGAACUGGAUGAGACAAAGAGCAAGUCUACAACCACCUUUCUGGCCACUGAAGAUGAAAUAUUACAACUGAAAGCUGAUUUGAGAUCCGCACAUGAGCAGGUGGACAUUUAUAAGAGAAAGCUGGAAGCUCUCGAUGACUAUGAGCGGCAGAUUCGCCUGUUGAGAGACGAAGUGUCUUACCUGAGCACAGAGAAAGCCAUGCUGCAAGCGAGGUUGGUGAGGAGUCGUUCUCCGAGCCCUUUGUCCAGGCACAGCCGCUCUUCCAGCCCCGGAAGGAGUGAGUCACCCACCCGAGCCCAGCUCACUAACUCCUCCCGCCACGCCCGCCUUGUGUCGCGCUUCAAUGACCUGUAUGCUGUGGAGCGUCUGGAUGCCCAGGCCCUGCUUCGCCGCUACAUUUCUGACUUGGAGAUGGUCCAGAGAAUAAUCUUUAUUGCAGUUGUGGAAUCCUUCAAGACAGCAAAACUGGCUUACCGUCAGUUCAAGCUACGAGUCAGAAAGACACUGUCCACAUCUCACUUUGGGCCGGAAAGUCUAGAAGAUGCAGCUGUGGACUACAUCGUCAGAAACCUGGACCUUUAUGAUGUUCAGACCAGCGUCAAUGAUGUCAUCAAUGCUAUGAAUGUGAACCCUCGGAUCUCCUUCCCGCCAGAGGUGGACUUUGUCCUCAUCAGUUCGUUGAUCAGAGAGGCAUGCAGAGUGGCCUUCGCCAUGCAGACACUGGACCCUCCACUGGACUUGGGCUUUGCCACUGAUGGAGAACUAUACAAUGACAUCAAGUAUCGGCGCAGCUAUGACUCUGAGUUCACUGCUCCUCUGGUGAUGUACCAUGUGUGGCCAGCCUUAAUGGAAGGAAACACUGUAAUAGUGAAGGGCGAGGCUGUGACUAGAAGUGGUGCUCUGUGGAGCCGAAGCCGCAGCAGAAGCAGUAGUACCAGCCCUGUGCGCUCUCGCUCUCUCAGCCCAACUCGCAGCCUUGUAAGUCACUAUAAUAUUAAAUAGUCCAACCACACAGAAAGAAAAGCACAACUUGGGGGUUUUGGUCACACAGGGGAUAAUUUUCUUUUCCUGGGUAUAACAUCGUUCAGCUACUCAUGAAAUUAUGAUUCCUUUUACUUUUUGUACCUAACAACGUGCAUGCAUACCCAUGGCUCUAAGGGCAUUUAACAGCAGAAGAAGCCUGUCUCCUGGACGUCUCAGAGCUAGCCACCUGUGACAUUUGGCCACAUGUGCUGAAAGUCAAAUGCAUGGUCACACUUAUGCUUCUACCAAAUAAAGCAAUGAAACCGUUCAUUACCAACCAAAGGCUGUGUGCAUUGUUGGAAGGAAGCUUUACAGGACAUAAGAUGAUAUAGAUUAGGCAAAAUUAACCCAGUAGAUAACUGAACAGUUGUUCUACUAUACUAUAUUCACUCUAUUAAUUUUUGACUAACAGUAUUGUAGUGAUGUUUGGGAACUUAAAGGAAAGGCAUAUUUCAGGGAACAAAAAAAGACCUGCACACUAGCACUUUAUUAGUGCUAAAAUUAGGACCCAUACUCAACUCUAUCAGUCAACAUUUCAGUGGCAGAUUGUAUUACUGUGCUAGUGAUUGGUGCUAAUUUAACAUCCUCCAGUACUUGAGUUACAGAUAUUUGGUCAGUGUUUUUAGUGUUUGUUGGAUGCUGUGUUGUUAUUCUUAUUUUAUUUUUUUAUUCUUUUAAUAUUUUUGUUAUUUUUGGUGCUGUUGUUCUAUGUACAUAUGUGAUACCAGAUCAGACUUUCAGAUAAGAUGGUGAUGAGAUUUUUCCACUAAAAACGUAGAGAGUUGUUUACGUCGUCAUUGUAAAAAACAGAAGGGUCAGUGGCAGUUUUUUGGGGGAGAUAUAUCCGGGUGCAUUCAGUGUGACAGUGCGUGUCUUAAAAUUUAAAAUGGAUUAAAGAAGAAUUAAAACAUAUUGAUUUUACAGUGAUGUGGUUUGCAAUGUGAGUAUCCUUUAAUGGUGCCUUAUAUGAUUGUUUUUGUAUUAAAUGGCUGAUGUGUAGUUUACUGCAACUCCAAACUAUUUUCUGAUUUGUAAUGUAUCAUUUUAUUUUGAUUAAAGA